AACGAACGCUGGCGGCAGGCUUAACACAUGCAGGUCGAGCGGUAACAGAGAUAGCUUGCUAUCUGCUGACGAGCGGCGGACGGGUUAGUAACGCGUGGGAAUAUACCCUUCACUAUGGAAUAGCCUCGGGAAACUGAGAGUAAUACCAUAUACGCCCUUCGGGGGAAAGAUUUAUCGGUGAAGGAUUAGCCCGCGUAAGAUUAGAUAGUUGGUGGGGUAAUGGCCUACCAAGUCUACGAUCUUUAGCUGGUUUUAGAGGAUGAUCAGCAACACUGGGACUGAGACACGGCCCAG
rnacentral:rRNA from 1 species